rnacentral:tRNA from 1 species
GGAAUUAGCUCAGUGGGUAGAGCACCAGCCCGGGAAGCUGGGAGCGCCGGUUCGAAUCCGGCAUUCCUCCU